GCUCGGAGCCGGGGGAAAACAAACAAUAAUAACGCCAAGCGCAGCUGCCGAAGCCUUCGGGUUCAAAGUGUUUCUGCCCCUACCAGCAAAAACAGAUGCAGGCUUUUUCUGGCCA